rnacentral:rRNA from 1 species
CCUACGGGCGGCAGCAGUGAGGAAUAUUGGUCAAUGGACGAGAGUCUGAACCAGCCAAGUAGCGUGAAGGAUGACUGCCCUAUGGGUUGUAAACUUCUUUUAUAAAGGAAUAAAACGAGGCACGUGUGCCUUUUUGCAUGUACUUUAUGAAUAAGGAUCGGCUAACUCCGUGCCAGCAGCCGCGGUAAUACGGAGGAUCCGAGCGUUAUCCGGAUUUAUUGGGUUUAAAGGGAGCGUAGAUGGGUUGUUAAGUCAGUUGUGAAAGUUUGCGGGUCAACCGUAAAAUUGCAAUUGAUACUGGAGGGAUUGAGUACAGUUGAGGAAGGAGGAAUGCGGAGUGUAGCGG